AGACUAUUUUCUGUUGCGCAGACCCUUAUUGUGUACUCUUGGAUUUUGCAUACUAGAUUGAUUUCUUAUAAUUUUAGCACUUAAUACAAACAGGUCAUAGCAGAAACGCUUUCGGAGAAAGAAAUAGGAAGCCUAAAGCAGUGGUUCAAAAUGUCCGACACCGAUAGCAGUGGAACACUCACAUAUGAGGAACUGAAAGAUGGUCUAAAAAAAGUAGGAUCUGACCUAGGAGAGUUCGACAUCAAGGCCCUGAUGAAAGCGGCUGACUUUGACAACAGUGGCACGAUUGACUACAGUGAAUUCAUUGCUGCAACAUUGCAUUUGAAUAAGAUGGAGAGAGAGGAGAAUCUGCUUUCUGCAUUCUCCUACUUUGACAAGGAUGGCAGUGGUUAUAUCACAAUUGAUGAGCUUCAACAGGCUUGCGUAGAAUUUUUCCUUGGUGAUGUUAAAUUGGAACCUAACAUAGGUCACAUACCUCACGACAUAUCACAUAAGAAUAUCAAAUACAAUAAGCGGUUUUCUUGCUUCUACAAAUGUAUGCUGUGGUGGCCUUGGCCCAAAAUACCUCACAUAUUUGACCUUUGCACCUCACCCUCAUUGAGUCCAAGAAUGUGUGUAUCAUGUGAAGUUGUGUUAUUCCUUAUAAAGCCCUUCACUUUCCGCUCCCACUCCAACGUGAGUCGCUAAAGUGUCAUUACUAAUAUGCACCCCUUCUUGAGGAGCUUGUCAGCCUAAAAAUCUGUCUGUCCUUCUUUUUGACCCGACCUCAUCAACCAACCCUCCGUCAUGGGCAUCACAUUUCUGAGUUAAGUCAAGCUGAUAAAUUUUUCUAUUUGGCAGGAUGGACGCAUAGAUUAUGGCGAAUUUGAAACAAUGAUGAAGAAGGGAAAUACAAGAUUUGCUGCUAGAACAAUGAGAGGCAAUUUGAAUUUUAACUUGGCUGAUGCACUUGGAGCAAGUGACAGUGAGAAAAAAGAAUAGAAGCAUGAUUGUUUACCGGACCAAGCUGAUAGAACACGUUGGACCAACCUAUAACCGGAGGAGGUCAAGGAGGCUUUCAACCGGAUGAGAGGGGUCAAGUAGAGCUGUGUUUGCCAAGACAAUGUUGGACUAUUACCAUCAUAUAUUGGUGCUUUAUUAUUUUGUGAUGGUAGAUAGAUUUAAUGCUAUAGUAGCAAAAUUUCAGUUGUUGCUACUCUCAACAACAGCAUGCCCAGUAUCUUUCCACGAGCGAGAUCUGGAGAGGGUGGGAUGUAAACAAACGUUACUCCUACCUUUGCUACUUUAUCUUAUAUAAU